CCUACGGGAGGCAGCAGUGAGGAAUAUUGGUCAAUGGACGAGAGUCUGAACCAGCCAAGUAGCGUGAAGGAUGACUGCCCUAUGGGUUGUAAACUUCUUUUAUAUGGGAAUAAAAUGUUCCACGUGUGGGUUUUUGUAUGUACCAUAUGAAUAAGGAUCGGCUAACUCCGUGCCAGCAGCCGCGGUAAUACGGAGGAUCCGAGCGUUAUCCGGAUUUAUUGGGUUUAAAGGGAGCGUAGGUGGGUUGUUAAGUCAGUUGUGAAAGUUUGCGGCUCAACCGUAAAAUUGCAGUUGAUACUGGCAGUCUUGAGUACAGUAGAGGUGGGCGGAAUUCGUGGUGUAGCGGUGAAAUGCUUAGAUAUCACGAAGAACUCCGAUUGCGAAGGCAGCUCACUGGACUGCAACUGACACUGAGGCUCGAAAGUGUGGGUAUCAAACAGGAUUAGAUACCCUAGUAGUC
rnacentral:rRNA from 1 species